rnacentral:rRNA from 1 species
UACGGAGGGGGCUAGCGUUGUUCGGAAUUACUGGGCGUAAAGCGCGCGUAGGCGGACCUGCAAGUCGGGGGUGAAAGCCCGAGGCUCAACCUCGGAACUGCCUUCGAUACUGCGGGUCUCGAGUCCGGGAGAGGUGAGUGGAAUUCCUAGUGUAGAGGUGAAAUUCGUAGAUAUUAGGAAGAACACCAAGUGGCGAAGGCGGCUCACUGGCCCCGGUACUGACGCUGAGGCGCGGAAAAGCGUGGGGGAGCAAACAGGGAUUAA